rnacentral:tRNA from 1 species
AGAAGAGAAGCUAUGUUAUUAAGCAAUUAGCUGUUACCUAAUCAAUUAGUGGACCAUCCACCCCUUCUA